rnacentral:rRNA from 1 species
UAAAGAGUGCGUAAUAGCUCACUAGUCGAGUGACACUGCGCCGAAAAUGUACCGGGGCUAAACAUAUUACCGAAGCUGUGGAUUGUCCUUUGGACAAUGGUAGGAGAGCGUUCUAAGGGCGUCGAAGCAUGAUCGCAAGGACAUGUGGAGCGCUUAGAAGUGAGAAUGCCGGUGUGAGUAGCGAAAGACGGGUGAGAAUCCCGUCCACCGAUUGACUAAGGUUUCCAGAGGAAGGCUCGUCCGCUCUGGGUUAGUCGGGUCCUAAGCUGAGGCCGACAGGCGUAGGCGAUGGAUAACAGGUUGAUAUUCCUGUACCACCUAGUAUCGUUUUAAUCGAUGGGGGGACGCAGUAGGAUAGGCGAAGCGUGCUGUUGGAGUGCACGUCCAAGCAGUAAGGCUGAGUGUUAGGCAAAUCCGGCACUCAUAAGGCUGAGCUGUGAUGGGGAGAGGAAAUUGUUUCCUCGAGUCGUUGAUUUCACACUGCCGAGAAAAGCCUCUAGAUAGAUAACAGGUGCCCGUACCGAAAACCGACACAGGUAGACAAGAUGAGAAUUCUAAGGUGAGCGAGCGAACUC